rnacentral:rRNA from 1 species
UACGUAGGGGGCAAGCGUUGUCCGGAUUUAUUGGGCGUAAAGAGCGUGUAGGCGGCCAAACAGGUCAGCUGUGAAAACUCGAGGCUCAACCUCGAGACGUCGGUUGAAACCGUUUGGCUAGAGUCCGGAAGAGGAGAGUGGAAUUCCCGGUGUAGCGGUGAAAUGCGCAGAUAUCGGGAAGAACACCCGUGGCGAAGGCAGAUCUCUGGGCCGUAACUGACGCUGAGGAGCGAAAGCAUGGGGAGCAAACAGGG